rnacentral:rRNA from 1 species
GGUUGAAGGUUGGGUAACACUAACUGGAGGACCGAACCGACUAAUGUUGAAAAAUUAGCGGAUGACCUGUGGCUGGGGGUGAAAGGCCAAUCAAACCGGGAGAUAGCUGGUUCUCCCCGAAAGCUAUUUAGGUAGCGCCUCGUGAAUUCAUCUCCGGGGGUAGAGCACUGUUUCGGCUAGGGGGCCAUCCCGGCUUACCAACCCGAUGCAAACUGCGAAUACCGGAGAAUGUUAUCACGGGAGACACACGGCGGGUGCUAACGUCCGUCGUGAAGAGGGAAACAACCCAGACCGCCAGCUAAGGUCCCAAAGUCAUGGUUAAGUGGGAAACGAUGUGGGAAGGCCCAGACAGCCAGGAUGUUGGCUUAGAAGCAGCCAUCAUUUAAAGAAAGCGUAAUAGCUCACUGGUCGAGUCGGCCUGCGCGGAAGAUGUAACGGGGCUAAACCAUGCACCGAAGCUGCGGCAGCGAACGUAUCACCCAAGACAACUUUACGGAGUUGACGAUUGACGGAGCGAAGCGACGUCAAAGCGUUCAUUAAAGUCGAGUUGGCUUAGGGAUACGUUCGUUGGGUAGGGGAGCGUUCUGUAAGCCUGUGAAGGUGUGUCGUGAGGCAUGCUGGAGGUAUCAGAAGUGCGAAUGCUGACAUAAGUAACGAUAAAGCGGGUGAAAAGCCCGCUCGCCGGAAGACCAAGGGUUCCUGUCCAACGUUAAUCGGGGCAGGGUGAGUCGACCCCUAAGGCGAGGCCGAAAGGCGUAGUCGAUGGGAAACGGGUUAAUAUUCCCGUACUUGGUGUUACUGCGAAGGGGGGACGGAGAAGGCUAUGUUGGCCGGGCGACGGUUGUCCCGGUUUAAGCGUGUAGGUGUGUGUUCCAGGUAAAUCCGGUUCACUUUAACACUGAGGCGUGACGACGAGGCACUACGGUGCUGAAGCAACAAAUGCCCUGCUUCCAGGAAAAGCCUCUAAGCAUCAGGUAACACGAAAUCGUACCCCAAACCGACACAGGUGGUCAGGUAGAGAAUACCAAGGCGCUUGAGAGAACUCGGGUGAAGGAACUAGGCAAAAUGGUGCCGUAACUUCGGGAGAAGGCACGCUGACACGUAGGUGAAGUGAUUUACUCAUGGAGCUGAAGUCAGUCGAAGAUACCAGCUGGCUGCAACUGUUUAUUAAAAACACAGCACUGUGCAAACACGAAAGUGGACGUAUACGGUGUGACGCCUGCCCGGUGCCGGAAGGUUAAUUGAUGGGGUCAGCG